GCGUCCCUGAGAUCCUCGCGCGACACGUCGCGGAUCGCGCGCCUGCCCAAGUCCGCCGCGCGCCGCGCCGCGUCCUCCGCUCGCCUCGCCGUCCGCGCCGCGGGCGCGGCGGUGGACCAGGAGACCGGCAUCAAGAAGAUGCGCGAGGGGAUCAAGGAGGCCGCGGACGAGAACCUCCUCACGCCGCGCUUCUACACCACGGACUUUGACGAGAUGGAACAGCUCUUCUCGACGGAGAUCAACCCCAACCUCGACGAGGCGGAGCUCGUGGCGAUCCUCCAGGAGUUC
rnacentral:lncRNA from 1 species